AAACAGAAACAUCUGGACUGAGAAAUGUCAGUGAUGAAUUCAGACAGAUGAUAACAGCAGGAGGAGACAGAGCACAUAUAAACAUGCAGAGUCUUUCUGGACACUGCAGAGUGAAUGUGCUCUAGAAUCCAGUGAUAAUCCAGUUGGAUGCUGGCACAGUGUCUUUGCAGUGGAGAGAAAUGAAAUCAGCUGAAUGUCCUGCACGCUGAGCAACAAGCUGAACACGUCCUCUUCAGAAGUGCUGGUCUACAGUCUGGAUCAUUAUCUCAUACAGAUGUUACUGUACAGAGACUGAAGUCAGCCUGUAAUAACAACAUGGAGUGAGCUACAGACUUCCAGCCAAUCAUCUUCAUGUGACUGUACAUGUAGGCUUCUUUCUUCUUCUGUGGUGGUCACAGAGCUCAUAGCUGGAUCUGAACACAGGAUACGACUGAAACUGGACUUUAUCUGUCAUAAACCAGAACAAAGAGCUGGAACAGAAAACGGAUACAAUCUGAACUGCAACAUGAUGGACAAAUGGAGACUUUGAUCAAAAGCAGAGAGGCUGGAUAGUGUGCAGUGUGCAGGUACAGCUCCAAAUCAGCGUGUGAGAGGAGGAGAGGUAGUCCACAUGCUGAAUAUUGAAACUUCCAAAUAAUAUUAAUUUAGCAAUAUUUUGAACAGGUGAAAUAUCUUUGUUUGAAACAUUCCCUCAUUAAACUCCUGGCAGCCGGUGAUAUUCAGCAUGUGGACUUUUUCUGUGAGUUAAAAUUGUAUCUCACUGCUGAGUCAGCUGAUAAAAACACAACUGAUGUUGAAUAAAAUUACAGUCGGCUCACAGACAGUAAUGACAUUUAGUAUUAAUAAUGAAUGCUAUUGGCUGAGCUGCAUGUGUCCAGAAGUUACUGAGAGUCAGUGUGUUCAUGUUAGUGUAAAUCUGUGUUUGUCACUACAUUUUGUUUUUAUAAUGUACAAUAAAGUUUUUGUAAAGCUGUGUGA